rnacentral:sRNA from 1 species
CGGUGAGAAGAGCGAGGCGGAGGAGGGGGUGCCAUGGCCGGGCAGCAGUUCCAGUACGAUGACAGUGGGAACACCUUCUUCUACUUCCUCACCUCCUUCGUGGGGCUCAUCGUGAUCCCGGCGACAUACUACCUCUGGCCCCGAGAUCAGAAUGCCGCGGGGAGAGUCUCAUUUACCCAGGCUGGUCUUGAACUUGCUUCAAGUCAUCCUCCCGCUUCAGCCCCCCGAGUAGCUGGGCUUACAGACUUGAGCCACUGUGUCAGGAUGGAUUUUUGAAAUUUGAAAGUCAUAUUUUCAUGCCCAGUUGCAGUAUCUUGAAUAUGAAAGAGAAAUCUUGAAUUACUGCCUCAUUCAAAGCUCUGAAUAAGGAACUUUUUUCAGAAGUUUGCUGCAAAAUAAUUUGCCGACUUGUACUGACAGGAGGCUACUGAAUAAUCUUUAUCUCACUUAAGAAAUAGUUAUGUUCUGUUUUGGAAUAUUAA